UUCAUGUAAGGAUCACACUUUGAUGUUUCUGUAUGUCUUCUCAAUGAGUUUGAUGUCCCCUGAGGACAGGGUCUAUGAUUUGUACAUGUUUUGAACACUUUGUAAUACUUAGCUCAGAAUAAGUUAUUAAUGAACAUUAACUAAUCAAUCAAUUUCUUCUUGAUUUUCUUUGAAAGAGCACAAUUUACCCAAAUUCUCUGUAAGAUGUUUCUGGUACCAAAAAGGAAAGAGAAAAUGAUAUCUUGUUAUUUUCACACCAUUUCAGUCUAGUUGUUUGUGAUGUGAAGUGGGCACAGCCUACUCACAUUGGCUAGCUUCAGAUUUUCUCUGAAAGUAAAGUAAAACUCAAAGGCAUAGCUAGGUAUUUCUUCCUAGUAGUCCGGAAAAUAUCAUCCUUUCUAUACACAAUUACAUAACUGUAAUACUUUCCCCAUCUACUAUAUACUGAUUCCAACAACUCCAAAACAGCUGCAAAACACACAGACACACACGCACACACACACAGACACACUAUAAGUACUAGCAGACAGAAUUUGGAUUGGCAGAAGUUGAUCAAUACUGUUAAAAAAGAGACAGAAGGCCUAAAAUGGAGUCACUUUUGCUAUGCCCCACAUCAUUAAACCAAGACUAAUACCCAACUUAAUUACAGUUUCAGCUUCUCCCAGGAAUGGAAUCUUAAAUCAGUCAAUCAGGAAUUACCUAGGCAGCACUAGUGAGGUAAUCCAUCUAGUAGACCCUGCUGUCCCCUAGAGGAAGGUGAUCUUGCCACAACCAAUCCAUUUUUUGCUAAUAUAACUUUCUUGUCCUGCUCCUUUCUACCUAUAAAAAUCUUUAAUUUUCUACAGUUCCUUGGAGCUCCUUUCUAUGUGCUAGAAGGGAUGCUGCCUGUUUCAUAAAUCAUUGACUAAAGCCAACAAGAUCUUUAAAAUUCACUCAGUUGAAUUUUGUUUUAACAGUAUUGGUGGCAGCAGUGGGAUCCAAAGGAAACUUCUGAUGGCUUUAGGGAUGAUGAGAAACACAGGUCCUGGUACCAAUGAACACUUUGGGUUCUCUGCCUUCCUUACCAUCUCCAAGAGCUGUGGACGAUCCAGGACCUUGUCACUAGCCACUGGCCCUCAUGAUCUAGUAGUUAGGAUUUGGUGCUCUCACUGCCACGGUCUGGCUUCAAUCUCUGGUCAGGGAACUGAGAUCCUGCUUCAAGUUUCUGCAAGCCAAGGCUACCCAAGAUCACCCAUAUUGACUCUUUCCAGGUUAACAGAACUCUGAGAGAAUUUGUGGUAAACUGCUACAUUUUUCCCUUAAGCAGUGAAGGGGAAA